ACUGUUGUCACAAUCAACAAGGUUGAAACUUCUAAGAAAAAACUUCGAAUUGGAAGGGCGAUCCUCCCCAUGAACUAACCGUACCCCAAACCGACACAGGUGAACAAGUAGAGUAUACUCGGGCACUUGAGAGAACCAUGUCGAAGGAACUCGGUAAAAUGACCCCGUAACCUCAGGAGAAGGGGUGCCCUCCUAUCUUUUGAUUAGGGAAGCGGGACAUACCAGGGGGUAACGACUGUUUAUUAAAAACACAGGACUCUGCUAAGUGGUAACUUGAGUAUCCACUCUAGAUUCACAUUGGAGUCUUAAUGUGUCAUAUUUUCUCU
rnacentral:ncRNA from 1 species